CCGGUACACUUAUACCGCCAAAUAAAUUAGGCGGUUCAACUGUCACAAAACCUCGCGCUUUUUUUCGUCGUCAUUUUUUCACCGAGUCGAGUGUUGGGUGGUUCGGUCAAAGCUUUUAUACCUUGCUGUUCAGAAGUUUUUUUUCAAUUUAAGUCGAUACUGGCCUUUAUGCGGAAAAUUCGCGAGAUUUUUUGUUUUGAAAAUAGCCUAAGCCCACGUGGCUAAUAUACCUCUGAAUAUCCUGAAUACACAUAUUUAGAUCCAGCGGAAUCCAUGAACGAAAAACUGAUGAUAAUGGGCAGAUUCCGUUGGAAAACAACUCUCUCUGGUGGUAAUGACACAUCUCUAUCGUGCUCAUCAAGUGAGGCAAGAAUCUAGAAUCCCAGGGCUGAAUGUUUACAUCCGUCUGGGUUUAUCUUGCGGAGCAAAUCGAACCCGACGAAGUGGUGCCUUUGUUAAUUUCUCGCAUUCAUCGAAACGGCGCAUUCUGUAUUAUGCCAGCCAGCUUUGGGGAAUUUUUCAUGACGCACACAAUGUGUCAAUGAGAUGUCAUCUCGGAUAACCGAUACUCGAUUUGGAGCAGGAAGUGCUCCAGCAUAAUAGUCUGCAGAUGACGGCCCCUUCAAGAAGGCGACACUAUUCCUGCAGUCUAGUGUAUUUCAACGCGUUAAACUUUCGUGGUUAUUGGGCUGCAGAGAAGUCGAGCAAACUCCUGCUGGGCCUAUAUAUCCACCCGGUGUUACAAGCGGCCAGCAUAAUGCCGUACACGCCCAACGUUCCGGUCGGGAGAGAUCAGACCCGGUGCCACCAAACUAAAAACGAUACACACUUCGUGCAGCAUCAGAAGCACGCCGCAGCACAUCUUUGGGACUAUGAACUAGUCGAAGAAAAAUAUCUAUAGGAGACUAAUUUUUGUGUCUCAGAGAUAUCACGGGAGACAUCUAGGAGAUCUUUCCGAGCGGGUGCUACAGAACAUGGUUAGAUUUGACAGUUCGAUAGUUAAACUUUGUUCGCGAGAAAAUUUGCGCCAAAUCUAUUUCGUUCCGAACAACUAUCAAUCUGUCAAAACUCAAAUGGGUCGGCUUCGGAGUAAAAUUUUAACCACGAUAGGAAAAUAACCAUCGAAGUGUCAAAUUUUAACUAAAAGUUAAACGAAUUGGUGGAAUGGUUCACAGUCUAAUUGAGUGAAAUUUAUAAUUAAUUUUAAUUGUUACAAUAAGAUAAAAAACAUUAAAAUUACAAUAAGAAACAAUGUGAGUUUUACAAUACAUACACAAUACAAUCUAAUGUGAAACACCAUAAAAUUUAU